UCCCACGUGGUCUAGUGGCUAGGAUGCCUAGCUCUCAACUCAAGAGGCCCGGGUUCGAUUCCCGAUGAGGGUU
rnacentral:tRNA from 1 species